rnacentral:rRNA from 1 species
GGAUUAGAUACCCUGGUAGUCCACGCCGUAAACGAUGUCUACUAGCCGUUGGGGGGCUUGACCCUUUAGUGGCGCAGCUAACGCGAUAAGUAGACCGCCUGGGGAGUACGGUCGCAAGAUUAAAACUCAAAUGAAUUGACGGGGGCCCGCACAAGCGGUGGAGCAUGUGGUUUAAUUCGAGGCAACGCGAAAAACCUUACCAGGCCUUGACAUCCUGAGAACUUUCUAGAGAUAGAUUGGUGCCUUCGGGAACUCAGUGACAGGUGUUGCAUGGCUGUCGUCAGCUCGUGCUG